UACGUAGGGUGCAAGCGUUGUCCGGAAUUAUUGGGCGUAAAGAGCUCGUAGGCGGUUUGUCGCGUCUGCUGUGAAAACUCGGGGCUUAACCCCGGGCCUGCAGUGGGUACGGGCAGACUAGAGUGCGGUAGGGGAGACUGGAAUUCCUGGUGUAGCGGUGAAAUGCGUAGAUAUCAGGAGGAACACCUGCGGUGUAGACGGCUUACUGGACGGUAACUGACGCUGAGGCACGAAAGCGUGGGUAGCAAACAGG
rnacentral:rRNA from 1 species